rnacentral:rRNA from 1 species
CCUACGGGAGGCAGCAGUAGGGAAUCUUCCACAAUGGGCGCAAGCCUGAUGGAGCAACACCGCGUGAGUGAAGAAGGGUUUCGGCUCGUAAAGCUCUUUUGUUGGAGAAGAACGUUCGUGAGAUUAACUGUCCACGCAGUGACGGUAUCCACCCAGAAAGUCACGGCUAACUACUUGCCAGCAGCCGCGGUAAUACGUUGGUGGCAAGCAUUAUCCGGAUUUAUUGGGCGUAAAGCGAGCGUAGGCGGUUGCUUAGGUCUGAUGUGAAAGCCGUCGGCUUAACCGACGAAGUGCAUCGGAAACGGGGAGACUUGAGUGAAGGAGAGGAAAGUGGAACUCCAGGUGUAGCGGUGAAAUGCGUAGAUAUAUGGAAGAACACCAGUGGCGAAGGCGGGUGUCUGGUCUGCAACUGACGCUGAGGCUCGAAAGCAUGGGGAGCGAAAAGGAUUAGAUACCCGUGUAGUC